UACGGAGGGUGCGAGCGUUGUCCGGAAUCACUGGGCGUAAAGGGCGCGUAGGCGGCUGGGGAAGUCGGCGGUGAAAGCCCGGAGCUCAACUCCGGGUCGGCCGUCGAGACUCCUCGGCUCGAGCUCACUAGAGGCAGAUGGAAUUCCGGGUGUAGCGGUGGAAUGCGUAGAGAUCCGGAAGAACACCGGUGGCGAAGGCGGCUCACGUGGCCUAGUACUGACGCUGUGGCGCGAAAGCUAGGGGAGCAAACGGGG
rnacentral:rRNA from 1 species